rnacentral:rRNA from 1 species
AACGAACGCUGGCGGCAGGCUUAACACAUGCAAGUCGAACUCGCCCUUCGGGGCGAGUGGCAGACGGGUGAGUAACGCGUGGGAACCUACCUUUUGGUACGGAAUAACUCAGGGAAACUUGAGCUAAUACCGUAUGCGCCCUUAUCCUUGAUCGGGUUUGGGGAAAGAUUCAUCGCCAAAGGAUGGGACCGCAUCGGAUUAGCUAGUUGGUGGGGUAAAGGCCUACCAAGGCGACGAUCCGUAGCUGGUCUGUGAGGAUGAUAAGCAACGCUGGAACUGAGACACGGCCCGGACUCCUACGGGAGGCAGCAGUGGGGAAUAUUGGAGCAUGGGGGCAACCCUGGUCCAGCAUUGCCGCGUAAGUGAUGAAGGCCUUAGGGUUGUAAAGCUCUUUCGCCGGUGAAGAUAAUGUCGGUAACCGGAGAAGAAGCCCCGGCUAACUUCGUGCCAGCAGCCGCCGCCGUAA